rnacentral:rRNA from 1 species
ACGGGAGGCAGCAGUGAGGAAUAUUGGUCAAUGGACGGAAGUCUGAACCAGCCAAGUCGCGUGAAGGAUGAAGGUAUUAUGUAUUGUAAACUUCUUUAGCAGUGGAGUAAUAAGGGGAUCGCGAUCCCUGAUGCAAGUACACUGAGAAUAAGGAUCGGCUAACUCCGUGCCAGCAGCCGCGGUAAUACGGAGGAUCCGAGCGUUAUCCGGAUUUAUUGGGUUUAAAGGGAGCGUAGGCGGAAGGUCAAGUCAGCUGUGAAAUGUAGUCGCUCAACGUCUGCACUGCAGUUGAAACUGGCCUCCUUGAGUGCGUAAGAGGCGGGCGGAAUUCGUCGUGUAGCGGUGAAAUGCUUAGAUAUGACGAAGAACUCCGAUUGCGAAGGCAGCUCGCUGGGCCGCAACUGACGCUGAAGCUCGAAGGUGCGGGUAUCAAACAGGAUUAGAUACCCUGGUA